rnacentral:rRNA from 1 species
GACGAACGCUGGCGGCGUGCCUAAUACAUGCAAGUCGAACGCAGUGGGGACGGGUGAGUAACACGUGGGUAACCUCCCAUCAGAGGGGAUAACACUUGGAAACAGGUGCUAAACCGAUACUGAUGGAUGGAACCGCGGUUCAUUAGCUAGGUGGUGAGGUAACGGCUCACCAAGGCCACGAUGCAUAGACGAGCUGAAAGGUGGACCGGCCACACUGGGACAGGUACACGGCCCAGACUCCUACGGGAGGCAGCAUUAGGGAAUCUUCGGAAAUGGACGAAAGUCUGACCGAGCAACGCCGCGUGAGUGAAGAAGGUUUUCGGAUCGUAAAACUCUGUUGUUAGAGAAGCGGUAUCUAACCAGAAAGCCACGGCUAACUACGUGCCAGCAGCCGCGGUAAUUC